UCCGCCAUUUUGGCGCAAUUUCAUAGCCGCGCUGAAAAACUUACUUAAAACCGACUUAAUACCCCACAGAGAAAAUGUUUGGGGUAACGAGGGAACGAAACUGAAGCCAUUCGCCGAUGAUGAUUUCGAAAAGGAUAUUUGAAGCGCAGGAGAGCAGCUUUGAUGUACACAAUGACUAAAGUUUUGGAUGGUGCGCAAAAGACAUACCAUUACCCCGGUAAUAGCAGCAGCACAAGGUACAAAAAGGAAAGAUGGAACUGACAUUAUGCUGCUGUUUUAGAAGCACGGAGGAAAGGCGGACAGGCUGAGUUGGCACAGGUAUGUGGCGUCAGGAGGGGUUUUGUGAUGGGGGCUGGAAGAAGAGCGGCAGAAGAACAGCGAAAGCGGCUAAAAGCGUUGUGGCAGCGGAGAGAGAGCCAAAUGCAUGUUGGGAAGGAGAUGGAAUCAUCUGGAGAUGUCAGGCUUGGCUUCCUGCACAGAGGCAGCGUGUAUGUCUUUGCCAGACUGGAGAAUAAAGUCUUUGAUCACUGCGUUGGGCAAAGCUUUACUGCCCCCUCUGCCAAUUAGCAGGGCACUGCCCCAACUGCCUCAACUGCCUCAUGCCAAUCAGCUCUGCCAGUUUGGAUGAUUACAAGUCGGUGUGCCUCCACCCAGGUCAGAGAGGGCACGGGGACGUCACAGACUGUGGUUCUGUGGAAAAAAAUAAGGAGUGGGUCUCCUUUUUGCUCUCUUUGUUUUAUUUUCAGGGUCUGUCCCAGCACUGCUGCAGCUUUUGUCAGCCCUCAUUCAGGGACCGGCUAGAAAAACAUAACCACUAUGUUAAGACUGUAGGUCAUUCCAAUUAGACCAGUGUACUUUUUUAUCUGAACUAUACUAGUCAGAUUGGAAUAUUGAAGUUUUUGAAGCAUCUUAU